UUGUCAAGCAGGGGCUGUAGCAUGGCACUUGCUGAGCCUCCAGCCUUGAAGGAGUCUCUCUGGUAAGACCCUACUGGAUCAAAGCUGUAUACUUUGUUUAAAAGAAUAAGAAAACUAUUUGUACAAGCACAAAAAAGUCUGGAAAGAUAAGUAACUGUGGCUGGUCAUCUUUGAGCUCUGAAUUAGAGGCAAGAAAAGAAGGGAAUUAAUUCAUGUGCUUCUAUCUUAUUUGAGUUUGUUACAAAGAACACAGGUGAUUCUACAAUCGUUAAAAAGGCCUGUUAAAAACAACCGUGUUCUGGGUAUGAGAAAUCACGAGUCAUUUACAAGGUAUGAUUUUUUAAAAACAUAACUGAUUUGGUGGCUCACGCCUGUAAUCCCAGCACUCUGGGAGGCUGAGGUGGGCCGAUCACGAGGUCAGGAGUUCGAGAUCAGCCUGGCCAACACAGUGAAACCCCAUCUCUACUAAAAAUACAAAAAUUAGCUGAGCAUGGUGGCACGUGCCUCUAUUCCCAACUACUUGGGAGGCUGAGGCAGGAGAAUCGCUUGAACCCAGGAGGCGGAGGUUGUGGUGAGCCGAGAUCAUGCCACUGCACUCCAGCCUGGGCAACAGAGCGAGACUUGGUCUCAAAAAAAGAAAAAGGAUUGUGUAAACUGAAUUCUCUGGUGGAGAAGGCACCAUCUGAGGUCACCUAAGAAACUGGGAAGUAUUUUUGCUGGAAGCAAGCUUGGGACAAGACAUGAGAUCACAGCAGGCAAUCCACUAACCUCAAUAUACAAAAAAAGAAAGAGAUGUAAGGUGUAAA
rnacentral:lncRNA from 1 species